ACGUAUGUAACGUUUACCUUAAAGGGACAGAAAAGAAGCCUGCGGCAGGAAACUAUAUCUCGGCACUUGGGAGACCGAGGCAGGAAGGUCACAAAGCCAAGGGUAGCACCGGUUAAAAUGAGACUUUGUUCCGAAAGAUAAAGGUGAGAGGGGGUGGUUAUUGUAUUUUAAUGUGAAGAACUGCUAAGCAAGGAUGUAAAAGAGAAGGUGGGAUAGGUAGAGUAAAAACGAAAUGUCUUGAAUACCCUAGAAGCAACUACACAGAUCCUUAUAAUGGACACGCUCAAAAUCGGGAAAACUCAGACCUAAAUACACCGUUAAUGAAGAAUUUGGUGACCGAAUUUUAGUAACUUUCUUAAACUAGUUCACAAACAAGUUUUUUGUCUUUGUCAAAAAAAAUGGGAUUAAUAAACUCGUUUCACGACGGGAAAUACUUAUUGUGAGAUCUAUAUUUUGGUACAAAACACAUCAAAACAUUUGUUUCAACUCACCUUGACAAACAUCCCUUUCUAGGAUAGCUUACGGAGAGUGACCAUCUGCUCUUCGCUGUACCUCUGAAUUGCCGUCCCUUCAAACUUGUCCUUCUCUGCAUCCUUUAACUGAAUAAGGGCUGCUUGUCCCUUUACCAAGUCCACUUGUUGACCCUGUCACAAGGAUGAGCUUGCAUUCUAGCACACCUUAGUAACUACAGUGACAGUGGAGUAAUGAGUCAGGGAUUCAGAACUGUCUCAGUUCCGUUGUUGUUUUCUGACUGUUCUCAGACUUUGGGAGGAGUAUCUAAGUCUGCUAGUGUGUUUACCUUUUUCUUUUUAAAAGGAAGAUUUGUCGUUAUUGUUUUUGAAUUAUGUGUCUGCGUCACAGAUGUAUGUGCAGCUGCAGAAGCCAGGGGUUGUCCCUGGAGCUGGAGCAACAGUGGUUGUGAGCUGACCAGUGUGGGUGCUGGGAACCAAACUUAGGUCCUCUGCGAGAGAAGCGUGCGAUCUUAACUGCUGUACCAUCUCUCCAGCCCAGUGCCUUGCCUUUUCCUGAAGUAGCUUUGAAACUGAGACAUCCCAUGCGCUGGUGAGCUGGUUAAGAUCCUACCAGUACUGCACGGAAGCGGUCAGGGGUGAAAGAGAAGUAUGAGUUACUGGGACCUUAGCUUCUGCACCGCUCCUCCAGUCUGUCUCUCAAGGCUUUGAAACCAUACAAGCAGAGGCAAGUUUCAAUAUCAUUCCAGGUAAGCGUCUCUCCUUGGCUUUACCAACUAAUGUAAUGUUUUCAAAAGUCCAUCUUCAUAUGCUGAACCACGCUGGGACCUCAUUCCAGUUGUAAAGAGUUACACCGAGUUUUAUUAGCCCCUUUUUUUCCUGGUGAUAAAAUUGAAGUUGAGUGAUUUGAUUAUGAUCGUGAAACUUGGGUGUUUAGAGUUGGGAUGUGAGCACAUGUAUUCCUGUCAUUCUGUUAUGUUAAAGGUUUGCUUUAUCAUGAGGGGUUAAAGCAGCGGUUCUCAACCUUCCUAAUACUCUGACACUUUUAGACAGUUCCUCUUGUUGUGGUGACCCCCCAAUCAUAAAGUUAUUUUGCUACUAUUUCAUAACUGUAAUUUUGCCACUGUUUUGAAUCAUAAUGUAAAUACCUGAUCUGCAGGACAUAUUCUAUGUGACCUUCAAAGGGAGUUGAGAAGCUCUGGGUUAAAGGAAACUGUCCAUUUCGUUUGUUGUUGUUGGAAUGCUAGCUCCUUGGAUUCUCUUGCGAAGGAGGAUCCGACAUUGUGCUUAAUAGCAAACCUUCUCGGACAGAGGAACAGUGUCUGAAGGCGGUGGCAUACGGAAUAGCUGAGAAGAACUUUUCAGUGGACAAUGUACAAUGACCCUUCUUCUUUCAAGGGUAAGACAUGUCAGAAAGCUUCACAAGAUAACACAGGGGACCAAAUAGAAGUCAAACACCAGCUGACAGAACCAUAAGUGUGAUGAUCUAGGGAACAGAAAUCCAGAAGAUUCUCAUUGUUGUCUAAAGGAAACGAGCCACAUUAUGUGGUCCAGUUUUCUAUGGAAAGACUUGUUAAAAUAUCAUGUUUCCUGUCAGGCCUGGGGCCCCUUUAAUUAAACGCUUCCUUAACCCUUGUCUGGUGCUCUUCAGAGUGGCUGUCUUAUUUAGUGUUCGGCAUUCUGCAAAGUCUCGCUUAGCAUCCUUCAUAGUGUGCAUUUUUGAUGAGGAUGGUGUUGCUAUUUUUACAUGGGCUUUGUGAGCUCCUUUGAGGAAUGCAGGGGUCCACAGAGAGGUGAAGGCGUUUGACUUCUUGUAUUUAAUCUAUCCUUUCCUCCAUCUCACAGAUCCCCACGGAAAGCUGCACCUCUAAGAGAUGAUUUGCCAACUGUUUUUGCUCGGAAGGGACAUCACCUAUUUUUAGCAACAAAGAAGUGUUAGGAAGGGGAGGGAGGCAUAUCUCAGAGGGACAGAUCUGAAAUGAAGCCCAGAAUGCUGGGGAGAUGGGAGAGGAAGGCACAAGGGUGUUUGUGAAGGAUGUUCAGGAGCGCAGCUCUGAGCCUUACACUGCAGAGAGGAGACCUCUUAAAUGGCUGCUUAUAGAGAAUUGAGAAUUAAUGUUAUUAAAGAGACCUUUAAGACAGCCAAAGGGCAUCAAGAUGAACCGCUUUGAUUAGUUCCAUGAUCUAUAUUUUCAAAAGUUUUCGACUGAGAUAAACUUGCAACACAUUAAAGGGGCAACUUUGUAUCUUAUGCAGAGAGCAGGCGUAGGGUGGGGAGAAGGAAUGACAUUUGAAAGUCUAAGGUGAGGCACAUCUUGUCCAGAAUGCAUUGGAAACUGAAUUGGUUGGUUUCUAUGCAAAGUUUAAAGCAGUCAUUAGAAAGUUAUUCUCAUUUUUAUAGAUUACCAAAGGCAGAAGAACUUCUCCCCUCCCUCUUUCUCCCUCCCCUUCGGCUUCUCUCUUCUCCUCCCAAUUUCCUUCCCUUCUUUCUUUUUCUUCCUUUCAAGGUUGGACUGAAGAAUUAAUAGAACACACUGCCUUCCUUCCAAGGUUUCAUUUUUUCUAAAGCCAGCAGAAUCUCAGCUUUGUAAUACGUGUACAGUAGAAAUAUGAUCCCAGGGAGCUCAGAAUGAGAAGCAUUGGAUUCUGCUUGAUGCUAUCACAGAAGGCUGCUGGGAGGAGGUAAUUUUUCUUUUCUUUUUCUUGUCCUUUUAUUGAAAAUAAUUUUCUUCUCACACGAUAUAUUCCUGGUUGUAGUCUCCCCCUCCCCAGUUCUCCCUACCUCUUCUCCAUCCAGAUCCGUCCUCUUUUUGCCUUCCUUAGGAAACAAACAGGCUUCUAAGGGAUAAUGAAAAUCAAAGAAAUGAAAAGGAAAGAAAAAAAAAAGAAAAAACGAACAUCAGCAUAAGACAAAACAAACAGAUGGAAAAGAGUCUAAGAGAAGGCAUAAGAAGUAGAUAUAGACACAGUGACACACUCAUUUGCACACUCAGAAAUCAUACAAAAACAGUAAAUCGGAAGCCAUAAUAUAUACAUAAAGGUCAUAUAAAGUAAAAAUGGAAAAUACAAAUAAAC
rnacentral:lncRNA from 1 species